AUGAAACACUUUUGUUUUUGCUCCUAUUUUUCAUGAGCUGAACUCAAAGAUCUAAGACUUUUUCUAUGCACACAAAAGGCCUGUUUCUCUCACAUAUUGUUCACAAAUCUGUCUAAAUCUGUGUGAGCACUUCUUAGUGAGCACUUCUCCUUUGCUCACAAACACAAAUUUAGACAGAUUUGUGAACAAUAUGUGAGAGAAACAGGCCUUUUGUGUGCAUAGAAAAAGUCUUAGGUUUUUUAGUUCAGCUCACGAAAAAUGGGGGCAAAAACAAAAAAGUGUUGCGU